rnacentral:misc_RNA from 1 species
UUUAUUUUUCCACACAGUAAACUUUCUGCAAUAUAUCAUACAAGAAGUUGAACUCCAUCUAGGAUGAAUUUCACAUAACAAAUUUUUAAAUGAAAAUAUCACCCAUGGAUCAUUCAAAGCCAAUGUAUUCUGAAAUGUGUGCAAUGAAGAUUGAAACAAGAUGCAUCCAAAACUGAGAACCAAGGGGGCGUAAAUUUCUGUCUGGAAAUACCAAUGCAAAAUCUGCAUCAUGCCAUUUUUGAUCUCUCACCGAAAUUCAAAUAAAAAUGUUCCUAUUUGAAGGGUAAACUAGUCCUAGGUAAUGGGCAUCUGACUGCAUUUUUGCAUAUUUUAAGGAGAAGAAAACAAUACAAGAUUAUUCUGGAUACUUCUUGUCGUCUUUCAACUCAAAAACUAAUGGAAUGGAGCACAAAAUGAUGUCACUUCAUCGAUUAAUUGGAGUGUGCAUCCGUUCAACAAUCCUGUUUAUGGCAUCACGAGACAUCACCAGUGUAUCAUGCAGCAGGAUGCUGUAGACAUUCAAGCCAAUUGAUGGUAGUACAUUGACAUAAUGUAGAUUUUGAGUAGCCAACUUCAGCUUUUCAUUAAUCAGGCCUCCAUCCACCAGCAGUAGCUUCUUGGUGUUCUCCAUUUGGUUAACAUAGUUCACAAUAUUCUUCGUUUUAUGUGUAGGGACCUCCAAAUCCUCAAAAACCAGAAGCUGUAUAUUACCAAAAUAUUUUAAAGAUUAUUGCUCCAUAUAUGGAAGAAAAAUGCUUUGAGAAUUUGACUUGUGAAGCUACCGUUAAAGAGGAAGUCUAAGAAAUGUAACCAGAUACACAGGCACAGAAAUUAUGUGAAAAUUUGAUAUUCAAGACCAACCACAGCAGUUAAACAACAGCAGUACAGAUAAUACAAAGCCUGGUAAGAAUGUAGAUAAUAAUCAAGAAAGAGGUAACGUCUCUCCCAAAAGUACUCAUAUCAGUAGUUUAACUGGUGGAAUAGAUGUGACAUUUAAAAAUGGAAAUAUCCUAACAUAAAGCCUUCUCAGAAAUGAAGAUGAUAAUCACAAACAAGUCAGCAUCCCUCCCAAGAACACAGGCCCAUGCAUCAAUUGUGCAAAAAAUGCAAAGUUACGCCACAUUUCAAUAAAUAGAAUCCAUACGACCCAUUAAUACAAUAAAUGGUAACCAGAAAGGCUAUCCGAAAGAAACUUCUAACCUUUUUCACAAGUGCAUUCAUGUAAAAUUAAAAAUUGAGGAACAAAGACAUGCCUUUCCUUCUGCUGCUCGAGCCGUCAAAGCAAUCUUCAAUCCUAGACGCCUAACUUUCUUGUUGCAUUUAAUAGCAUGACUCCGAGGCUUAGGGCCAUGCAUUGUAGCACCACCCCUAAACUGUGGUCCACGCAAUGUUCCAUGCCGUGCUCGACCAGUACCUUUCUGUUGAUAUGGUUUUCUACCAGUCCCACUAACUUCACUGAUUGUUUUUGUUGAAUGUGUUCCCUGUAGACAACUUGAACUGCAUAAAAUUCUGUAUCUGAUUCUUAUACAUCAACUUCCCAAAAAUUUACGACUUGCAGAUUUUUUUUUUAUAUAGUGUGAAAGUUUAAUGUAAAAGUGAGUUUACAAAUCAGUAACAUGUCUAAUCAUAACAAUAAUAAUAAUAAUAAUUCAUCAUAUAGCAUAAUUUUAUUAGAUAAGUAAUAUGUUACAUAUCUGCAACAUAUCUCAGACAGCUUCCACAGCAACGGAACUAAACAACUUCGUGUGAAUGAUAUGCACAUUAGGGACAGAUUCAUCAACACAAACCCCAGCUGCUCCCCCUUCCAUUUUUCGCACUUAUGAUAUCCCCAUGAUAAUUUUUCCUUCUUUAAAUGUCUUAUGUUGAUCAAACAGAAAGGUAAUGUUUGUUCUCGACUUCCAACAACCCAAAAAAUAACAUAAAAAAAAUUCGGUGAUGCUGACAACAAUUUAAAGAACUACUAACAAAACCUCAACAUUCUCAAUGGUUUACCAUAAGCCACAAGCACACAAGCAAUACUCUUUCCAUGUGCAUUUAAGUCAUGGCACCAUUAAUGCUAUACAUUCACAUUCUUUAAAGCUUUAUAAUAGUUGACUAUCGCCUGUUAUUGUUUUGCAAGUUGCCAUCACAAUGAAUAAUAUGCUUCUUAAUGGGCACAUCAAAAACAUCACCAACCAAAACCAUAAAUCCCUUGUCCUCAUUGUGAAAUUUGUCUCCAGAAUCACCAAGUCCUUGAUAAAGCUAGAAGAUUCUGCAAAAAAUAAGCAAUCCCCGGAGACACGGCCACACACAUCAAGAGAAGUUAGAAAUAAUUGAUAAGUGAGACAUGGAGAACUGCAACGACCAACGCCCAAGGACCCAAAAGAGCGUAAAAUCCUUCUCGAAAUCGACACCGGCAUUGCGAACUAGAAAGGACAGGCUCCAGCAUCACCUGCUCACCUGUACUUCGAAAGACUUCCGCUGUCGAUCGAAUUCGACAGCUAAAAUAGGAUGGUAGCUUGCAAUCCGCCCGCCAAUCUCCUUAUUCUUUGAGGAAGGAGGUAGUAGUAAAAUUGGAAAAUGUAAAACCCCAGCUCAGGCAGCUGGUUUUCGGCGCGGAGGUUUAUGCAAAUU